UUGACCUCCCACAUUGAUGCAAGUUUAGAUGCCAGGUCCUCUGUCUUCAUUAUAUUUCCCCUCGAACCAUGCUGGUCGAGCUCAUUUUUGGAGACAAACAUAAGCAGUGGGCACGUCUGAAUUGACAAUUUUGUAAGCAUUGCUGGAAGACAAGGUAAUAUUUUCAAUUUUGGAACAUUUUCUAGCGGAUGUGUGAAAUCUGCAACGGAUUGGCAAUUUUCAAUUUUGACAAUUUUGGAAUAUUUUCCACCUGCCUCGCAAGUCCCAACUGUGGACUGUGCACAGUCACCAAACAGAGAACCGAGGGGACAGCAUCUGCAACGGAUUGGCUUCUGACUUGAACUGGGUGGCGAGUCAGUGUCGUGUUGUGCUUGUGCCAGGGUGACCUUGAGGUCGAGGUGCCUGUUUACAACAUGAAAUGUUUUUAAAAUAUAAAAUAUUGGAAACCUUAUUCAUUGUGCUGGAUAAUGAAUCAGCAGAACCUAUACCUCCUCAUUUCGUUGAAGAUCAUUCAUAGAAGUGCUUCCAGCGGAUGUGUGAAAUCUGUGGCCAGCUUUCUCCAUCAGGCUCUCGGCAGUUCUUCUUCAAGUCGUCACAACCAUAUAUAGUUAUGCGCUGGAGGGAGGAUGGCAGAACUGGUAAAGAUGUUAUGUUGGGGCAAAUGCCGAUAUCAAGACUCUCCAGACUGGAGAGAAAUUUUAGAUUUCCUGGCAGGGACUCCAUUUUGCAAUCCCAAAUGUCCAGGUGCUUGACAGAUAAGAGAUUUGCACAUUCUCCAAAUGAAGCUGACGGCUCCUUGCAAACAUGAAGACCAAGAUUUGGUGGGACUAUAAACCCUUCAGCCUUGAGCAUCUGGUUGAGCAGUACGAAACUACUAACGCUGAGCCAUUUCUGGACACGAAACUGUGAGAUGCACUUGGCAGUGAGGUUUGGAACAUCUAUCAAACUUAGGCUAUCAAGUUGCCAGGAAGACAAGCCUUCAAGAGAGCACAGAUCGGGGAGACGAAGUAGAGAUAAUGAUUCAAGGGAGGUCAGGUGGCCAAUCGAUAAGGACGGGAAGCUUCUGCAACAUGCAAUGGAAAGAGAUUUCAGGUGUGGCAAGCCAUUAAUGAACGAAUCGGCUGCCAGAAUGCAGCCACAUAUGUAGAGGUCUCCAGCAAGGUUGAAUGACAUAGAUUCUGCUGCACCUGCCAGAUCUAAAGAAGGGCAAUCAAUACAAUAAAGUCUGGAAAGAGAUGGAGCAGCAUGUGAGCCCCCCAGUGAUCUGAGACACCAACAACCUCUUACAGCCAACAAGUCAAGCUUUGUCAAAUGCUCAAACACCUCUUCUGAAGGAAGUGCAGUUAAUGCCAUAUUAUAUUCCAGCAUUAACGUUGUCAAUGAAGUGAGGCCACCAAGGCAAAUAGCUAAAGCUUCAUCUGUAAUACUGCAUGAAGAAAGAUAAAGUUCACGUAUUCCUGAUGGUAGAACCAGUGGCAGCUCCAUGGUCCUUCCAUAAAUGACUGUUAUCCUCUGCUCAUGGCAAAAAAGCCAUGCCUUGAUCAUAUUUUCUUUCUCCAAUAUUAUAUCUCCUCCUUCCUCUAGGCCACUUUCAAUAAUUUGAAGAUGUUGUGAUAUAUCAUCACCCAUCUGCGUUGUCAACUGCUUCAGGGAUGAAUAGUCCUCUGCAAGUACUUCCCUAAUAUUUGAUCCUGAAUUGACCUCCCACAUUGAUGCAAGUUUAGAUGCCAGGUCCUCUGUCUUCAUUAUAUUUUCCCUCAAAUCAUGCUGGUCGAGCUCAUUUUUGGAGACAAACAUAAGCAGUGGGCACGUCUCAAUUGACAAUUUUGUAAGCAUUGCUGGAAGACAAGAUAAAAUCUUCAAUUUUGGAACAUUUUUUAGACACAGCCUAGUGCAAUGCCGUAGGAGCUCAGUAUUAGGUGGUAGGCCUUCUAACAAAGUGCAGCAAUUAAGCUUUAAACAUUCCAAAUUUUCAAAAUAGGAUGGCUCAAGUAACCACCUUGGAUAUGUGCCAGAUUUGUAGCCUUUGAUUGUGAGGCCACUAAGUUGGGGUGACGGUCUCAGACCUUCUAGAACAUCCAGAUGUAAAGUAUCCACUGCAUCCAUUCCCUUCUCGCUACUCCAGGCAAGCCGCAACUUUUUAAGGCGAUUCUUCUUAUAGAGCAUGGACUCUAAGGCUUCUUCUUUUUCUGAAACAUUCUCAAGAUUUUCUACUUUUAAACUGCCACCAAGCUCAUUCAAGUCCUUCAGCUGCCACAACUCGUAUCCUUGCUUCUUUUGCACAGAAAAGGUAUGCAUGUGUUGUAGCGAAAUUAGCUUGCCUAUAUUGGGAAUUUGAUGAAUAGAUUUUUCCAUCAAGGCAUGUGGGUACUCCUUGUACGCCCCCAUAUGUCGCAACUUACUUAAGUUGCAAAGCUUGUCAGGCAACCUCUCCACCGUUAGGCUUAACUGAAGUAACUGCAAGUGGUAAAGAGUACAUAAUGAUCUAGGCAAUUCAGAAAUUAACGUUCUGAUAAGGUUCAAAUACCGAAGGUGCUUCAGCCUACCAAUAGAUUCAGGCAACUUACUACUGUUGUAAAAUGACAAAUACAAUACACGUAACUUCUUCUGGUUCCGCAGCAUCUGAUCAAAAAUAUCGCUUGCAUCAUCCAUUAGUGGAUCAAUGCAGAUGAUAGUGCGUAAAUUCUGUAGCUUGUAGAUAAUUUGCUUAUGCUUUUGCAAACUCUCAACCUGAAGAGAGAGAUGUCGAACAGUGCAUGGUACUUCUCUGAUAUUAUCCUCUUCUAAUCUGAAGCAGUCUUCUACAGAGAGUGACUGUGCCAAAUCAUGAAGGAUGUCGUGCAUGAUAUAGUAUGAAUAAUACUCUGUUUCAGAAACCAAUUGAAAGAAAGACCCAGAGAGCAUCUCAUUGAAAUAAUCCCUCCCGACAUCUUCUAUUGUCAUGCUACUCAAAUUACAUGAACCAACAAGCCCUUCUGCCACCCAAAGGUGAACCAACUCAUCAGGUUUAUAUUUAUGACCUUUUGGGAAUAAGCUGCAAUACAAGAAGCACCUCUGCAGACGUGGAUCUAACUUCUUGUAACUCCACAAGAGAACUGUGAAGGGCUCACUUAAAUCUCUGAGCUUUAGAGCACCUUUCCAUUCAGCAGUAUCUUUUUUUGUGCUCAACCGGGAACCAAGAACUUUUGCUGCCAAAGGACAUUGUCCAAGCCUUUUAGCAAUCUCCACUGCAGUAUGUUCCAGCUUAUUGUGCAAAAGUUGAUCUCCAAUUUUUGCUCCAGAGAAAGCAUGGUGUUUGAAGAGUGCCAAGAAAUUGGCAUCAUCCAUUUUUUCCAAAUGAACAACUUGUUGUUGAUCACAGAAAACAGCGGCCGGAAGUGUUUCACGCCGAGAAGUCACCAAAACUUUGCUUCCCAUCUGUUUAGAGACAAAUGGAUCCAGGAGCUGAAACCACUCUGUCUCGCUGUCUGAUUUUUCGAACCAAACAUCAUCCAAGACAAGUAGGAAUUUCUGUGACUUCUGCAGUAUGUCACGUAAUUUGCACUGGAGAGUAUCAAGAUUAUCAAUACAUGGGCACUCCCCAUUUGUUGCAGACUCAAUAAUCUCCCUUGUGUGACGACGGACAUCAAGCUUGCGUGAGAUGCAGACCCACAUCCUGAUAUCAAAGCCUUCUUCUAUCCUCUUGUCAUUGUAGACAUACUGCACUAAGGUGGACUUCCCCAUUCCGCCCGCACCAAUAAUGGCCAAACUGGAGUACCUAGUCGAACUUGCCUCGUCAGCUGCUGUCUUGCCAAGAAGAAAAUCUAAUAUACGAUCGCGAUCCUUGUCACGACCGAAAACCUUUGAUGUGGAAAGUGAUGUCACUGUGGUUGGAGGAACAAUGGUUGCUGGUACAGCUGGCCACCCUAAACCUGUAGUAUUUCCAGGUGCUAUGCUAAGAAGAUCCCGAAGCUCCUUGGCUUCUGUUAGGAUAGCUUUGAUCUCAUUCAUCUUGCUAAUUAGCCUUCUAUUCUCAGGGAGCAAGUUGCGUGCCUUGCUCUUAGCAGUAUGAAAAGGCUUCAUGAUUGUUGAUGCAAUGGAGGAGGUUUCAUCCUCUCCUAGCAGGGGAUCUUUUCCGCUCUUGGCCUUGCGCUUGAGGAGAUUGUACUCAUGCUCGUCCAGCAGGUCCUCAGCAUCAUAAAAGGCUUCUUUGAGCCGCCGAAGCCAUGCCUCGAGCUUGCCCUUAUGGGGGCUCUUCUCUGCUGCUUGAAUCACCAGAUCAAAUUGUGGCAGGACGGUGGCUUCUAGUUUUUGGAGCUCACGCACCAUGUCCACACUGAGGUAAGCUGAAGCUUCGUUAAGAAGCUUGUUGAAAAUGGGCGAUGCUGCCCACCUUAACCCAGCGAGUGCCAAGUCUGCCAUGGAAUUGGAGUGGUUUGUGCUUCUCCUUUGUGGGUGUGGACUGGAGAGAUCUUGGAUGAAUAUUUCCAGGUGAAAAGAAGAGGACAAUUGAUUGGCAAUGGCACGAAAUGAUUGUGUUUUUCUUGGAAAUGUAAAUGAUGGGAAACAAGCAAAGAGUACAAUUAAUAUCUUUUUUCCUUCCUUUUUUGGGGUUUUCUAUUUUUUCUUUCUUUUUUUUUGUCGUAGGAGUGAAAUGAAUAAGUUGAAGAUGCAGGGUGCAAGGGUCUGGUGGCGAAGAGAAAGAUUAAACAGGAAAAGAAAGAUGAAUGGAUGGACAAUGGAAGCUGUUUUCUUUUUUAUGUAUGGACGAGGUGCUUCUGCAGAAGGCAAGUUACUGAUAAGGACAACAACGGAAUGAAGAAAACCUGGAAUUAAGAAGACGCAUAGAAUUAGUGAUUCUGAUUGGGAAAAUGGAAGACAAAUUGAUUAUUUUUCUUUCUCAUGUGCUACAGCACACAGAAUGAAAUAGCUACUAACAAGUUAGCACAACAAACUAAGGAGAUUGGUGAUCUUACAUGGUUUUGCGGGAUGAAGUUACACCAAGUAAAAAAAAUCAAGGGCGCUGGGAGCAGAGUUGCUGGAGCCAGUGUUGACAAGGAGCACGAGGUGGCCGGAGUGGUGGACGGGACUCUGGAACAAGCACUGCACUUCAAGAGAACAAACAGGCAGUCAGCCAAGAAUAAGGUAUAUACGCUGGCAGCGAAGGAGGGAAAGGAAGAAGCAAGGAACAAUACCGGAAAAGCUUGGCAGUGCUGAUUCCUGGUGAUGAUCUUUUUAUUAAGAGAUUGCUGGUGAUGAUCUGUUCUGCAGUUUCACGGUGAGGACACCGAUGGUGCUGCUGGCCUUCUGCUGCUUGCUGGGAAAAGGAAGAAGAAAGGAAAUUGGAAGGUGGAGAAAGAGGAGUAGACAAGGUCUAUCGAUUGGGACUUCUCUGAAAUAGGAGUUUGUUGGGACCUGCAUUUGGUGUGAAGUACUAGUCAGCAUAAACACAGACAAAGGAAGCUUCUGGGUAGCUUCACUAGGUUUCUAUCCUUGAGAAAGGAACGGUUCAACCAUAUCCCCCCUUGCAAUAAAUGAAUGAAGGCGAACACAGAGUAGACAAGGUCUAUGAAUUCAUCAAAAACGUCAUCAGCAGUUUUGCAACUCAAACACUACCUAAACAACUCGUUGGAAAACAUAGCCCAAACGAAAAGCAAGGCGCACAUACGGCCACCUCACCUGUAUCCAGGAAAGGGUGGAAUGUGGUCACCUCUCACAUGGAAAAUCACAUAAGAUGAUUUUUUUUUUUAUUCCAUAACCCAUAUAAGAACUGAUCAAAACACAAAAGGAUAGAAAAAUUUUGACUGACCACUGACAGUGUCUUGCACUAGUACUGCUGCUUCUUUGUGAAAGGAAUCAGCCUUGACGCCUAUGCUACUGCUCGUCGGUGCUGCUGUACUAGGGGCUGUGGUGCCUGUGUCGCCUCUCCUCCCCUUCCUCUGCCGUGUGGUCGGUUCCUCCCUUGAGCACGGCCGGCGCGCGCCGCAGCUGCCGCAGUAAAAGUAAUCUCCGAGGCGGCGAGACCUGACUCCGGCAACCCCGGCAACAUGGAGGGUUCAGCGUUCAGCCGUCUUGUGCGGCGCCGGUGCUGGAACACAACACAAGAGAAUGGCCGAACGGGGGACGGGGAAAUGCUGAACAGAACAGGAACGGAUAUUGCGGUUUUGGACUCGGUAACUAACUGUCUUCAUCGCUCGUUUGAAGCAGAGCAGCAGGAACAAUGGCUGCGCAGUCCCCUUCUUCUGCUUGAAUAAGGCUAUUCCAACAGGAGACCCAAAUGUAAAAUCUCUACUAUAAUGGAUCAAUUAGAAUUAUAUUAGAUCCCCAAGUAAAACCUUUUCCACUGAGAGCCUUCAACCAUUGUGCACCUAGUAAAAUUAAAAUGUACACAGUAAAUUAUCUCUGUUAAAAUCAAGGGCUACAAAAUAAUUGCUCAUAGACCUCAACUCAAUCUGAUGGCCAUGAUCACUUCCAGGCUUCAACGCGACUCCCAGGCUUCAACACGCUCGCGUCCCUCGACGCAUGGCCUCCACCUCCCCAAGCGCGACUCUCAGGCUUCAACACGCUCGCGUCCCUCGACGCAUGGCCUCCACCUCCCAAAGCGUGACAGGCAGGAUUCGAUCCCUGCUACCACGAAAAAAAGAAAAACUAAAAAAUAGCGUAGCAGCAUGCACGGGAGGAGGCGCACCCGCCGUUCCCGGCGGCGAGGUGGCACGGGAUCGACGGAGAAACUAGGGGCUGCGGCUGAGGGCUUGGCUCCUGCAGAGCUUCGGUGGCUGCGCAGGUCGACGACAGACCCCGGCCAGGGGCGGUAGCGGCGGCAGCGGCGGAGGCGCGGUCACGGCGACCCAGCCAGCGGCGGAGGAAGGCGAGGCAGACACAUUGGUGGGAUUGGUUGGGUGCGGUCGCGAGGUCUCGGAGGAGCUGCUGCGCAUGCUGGUGGAAAGCUAGGUAGUCUUGAGAUAGCGCACUACGCGCACGAGGUGUUCGUGCAAAUGCUUGGCACGGCCUUGUCAAAUCCUUUGCUCCCCUCCGACGUUGCUGCCAUGGACUCCACGCUAGCACCUGAAAUGGCCCCCGAUGCCUCCUAUUCCGCCGCCACCGCUGUCCCGACCGCCGAGGAUCUCGUGGGGGCGUGGCAGUGAUGACCUUGGAUGAGCAGUUCGAUCUGCUGCAGGGAUUAGGGAGAGAAGUGCAUCCAGGAGGACGAGUUCAGGCGCCUGCUUGAUAACAAGCCUGUCCCCAUCUACUACGAUGGCUUCGAGCCUUUAGAGGCAUGCACAUCGCACAGGUUUGACCUUCUGUCUUCAGCCCCUGCCUCCAGGGCAUCAUUAGUAGAAAAAAUGAUAAGUUUGCAUGAUUCAGCUAAAGAUAGAUUUGGCUGCAUCGCCAUUCUAAUUUUGUAAUAGCAUGUAGAAAGAGACCAUCAUUUAUAAUGGCACAUAAGGAAAAGACUUAAAUAAAUUGUGUGAAGGUUUUAAUAGCAUGUAGAAAGGGACCAUCAUUUAUAAUGGCACACAAGGAAAAAGCUCAAAUCAAUUGUGUGGAGGUUCAAUGAAGCUACAAAAAUAUAAAAGAACAUAGAGACCACAUGACAAGCAUUUACAGAGGGAUAUCAAAUACCAGCAACAAGAACAAGAGAACGGAAGCACAUUUUUUAAUUUAGAAACACGUGACAGCAAUUGUUUAUUUUUUUCUUUUUAAUUAAAAAAGAUAAAGGAACGAAAUAUUCCAGACUCCAGUUCGCUUCACGAAAAAUGAAAACCAUAGCCACAGUUUAUAUCAUCAUAGGUUAUUUAUUAGAGACUCAUUCUAUUAGAGGAAAUAGGAAUACAUGUAAGCAAUUAAUUAUGGGCGUUGCUAAGGUAUAACUCUUACCUAGUAAGAGGUAAGAGUUCAAAUAAAUCCGAGCCAUUGAAUAUUAGAAGAAAUAAAGUAAGUAGUAAAAAGGAAAAUAAAUAACAUAUUGUUUCCGUUUAUUUACAUGUGUACAUGCAAUUUGUUUCCUUUUAGUUGCAACCAACGACUACAACUUCAUGGAAGACCAUCGGGCAAGAGAUGGUUUAGAGUCAAAAUUCAACUUUCCAAGACAUGCUAUUUACGUUUCUUAUUAAUUGCGCAUGGUCACAUUACAACUAAAAAAAUGUUACAUCACAAUCACCUACACUAUGGAUUGAAUAAGCUUUACUUUUUUAUAAUGUCGAAAACGAAAUGAAUUUAAAUUUCUCGUUCAUUCGUCACGUUCCAACAAAUUAAUUAAAUAAAUUUUACAAAAUCAUUUUGGGUUACAUAUUAUAAAUCAUUGUGUUAUUAUAUAUACAAUAAAAUAAAAUGGUUGCACACGUGUGAACUAUGUCACCCCAUAGUGUGUCCAUGUCCAUGUUAUUAAAAACUUAAGAUCAUGUUAGGAAAGUUAGAUCAUGCAUGCAUAUUAUAUACAUAAUACGAAGGUAUUUUCCUUAUAUAUCUUAUUACCUCUUGCAAGGUAAUAUUUGACAAUUGCUACUCAGAUCGACGAUUCACAGUUAUUUAGGUGUACCAUAGCAAGACCCAUUAUUCAUAAUCAAGGAAUAACAGUACAAGUGAAAUGAUAUAAAUGGAACCACCUUCGUUCCUCGCAAGUACCAACCGUGGACUGUGGAGGGUCGCCAAACAGAGAACCAAGGGUACGGCAUCACCAACAGAUCGGCUUCUGAUCGACUUCAGCUGGGUGGUGAGUCUGCAGAGACGGGGGCGCUGCGGCAUUGGGGUCACCACGAGGUGUCUGUUUAGAACAUGAAAUGAAAUGUUUUAAAUAAAAUAUUCGAAACCUUAUUCAUUGUGCUGGAGAAUGAAUCAGUGAAACCUAUACCUUCUCUCAUUUCUUUCAAGCGGCGAUAUUAAACGAAGUGCUUCCAGCGGAUGUGUGAAAUCUGUGGCCAGCUUUCUCCAUCAGGCUCUCGGCAGUUCUUCUUCAAGUCGUCACAACCAUAUAUAGUUAUGCGCUGGAGGGAGGAUGGCAGAACUGGUAAAGAUGUUAUGUUGGGGCAAAUGCCGAUAUCAAGACUCUCCAGACUGGAGAGAAAUUUUAGAUUUCCUGGCAGGGACUCCAUUUUGCAAUCCCAAAUGUCCAGGUGCUUGACAGAUAAGAGAUUUGCACAUUCUCCAAAUGAAGCUGACGGCUCCUUGCAAUCAUGAAGAGCAAGAUUUGGUGGGACUAUAAACCCUUCAGCCUUGAGCAUCUGGUUGAGCAGUACGAAACUACUAACGCUGAGCCAUUUCUGGACACGAAACUGUGAGAUGCACUUGGCAGUGAGGUUUGGAACAUCUAUCAAACUUAGGCCAUCAAGUUGCCAGGAAGACAAGCCUUCAAGAGAGCACAGAUCGGGGAGACGAAGUAGAGAUAAUGAUUCAAGGGAGGUCAGGUGGCCAAUCGAUAAGGACGGGAAGCUUCUGCAACAUGCAAUGGAAAGAGAUUUCAGGUGUGGCAAGCCAUUAAUGAACGAAUCGGCUGCCAGAAUGCAGCCACAUAUGUAGAGGUCUCCAGCAAGGUUGAAUGACAUAGAUUCUACUGCACCUGCCAGAUCUAAAGAAGGGCAAUCAAUACAAUAAAGUCUGGAAAGAGAUGGAGCAGCAUGUGAGCCCCCCAGUGAUCUGAGACACCAACAACCUCUUACAUCCAACAAGUCAAGCUUUGUCAAAUGCUCAAACACCUCUUCUGACGGAAGUGCACUUAAUGCCAUAUUAUAUUCCAGUCUUAACGUUGUCAAUGAAGUGAGGCCACCAAGGCAAAUAGCUAAAGCUUCAUCUGUAAUACUGCAUGAAGAAAGAACAAUACUAACAAGUCCAAAUGGUAGAACCAGUGGCAGCUCCAUGGUCCUUCCAUAAAUGACUCUUAUCCUCUGCUCAUGGCAAAAAAGCCAUGCCUUGAUCAUAUUUUCUUUCUCCAAUAUUAUAUCUCCUCCUUCCUUUAGGCCACUUUCAAUAAUUUGAAGAUGUUGUGAUAUAUCAUCACCCAUCUGUGUUGUCAACUGCUUCAGUGAUGAAUAGUCCUCUAAAAGUACUCUCCUAAUAUCUGAUCCCGAAUUGACCUCCCACAUCGAUGCAAGUUUAGAUGCCAGGUCCUCCGUGUUCAUUAUAUUUUCCCUCAAAUCAUGCUGAUCGAGCUCAUUUUUGGAGACAAACAUAAGCAGUGGGCACGUCUGAAUUGACAAUUUUGUAAGCAUUGCUGGAAGACAAGGUAAUAUCUUCAAUUUUGGAACAUUUUUUAGACACAGCCUAGUGCAAUGCCGUAGGAGCUCAGUAUUAGGU
rnacentral:lncRNA from 1 species